CCAACUUGGUCAUUUAGAGGAAGUAAAGUCGUAACAAGGUUUCCGUAGGUGACCUGCGGAAGGAUCAUUA
rnacentral:rRNA from 1 species